GCCCCGGUGGUGUAGUCAGGAAACAUCGGAGCCUGUCACGCUCUGGCCCCGGGUUCAAAUCCCGGCCGGGGCG
rnacentral:tRNA from 2 species